GGAUGAAGAACGUAGUGAAAUGCGAUAAGUAAUGUGAAUUGCAGAAUUCAGUGAAUCAUCGAAUCUUUGAACGCACAUUGCGCCCGCCAGUAUUCUGGCGGGCAUGCCUGUUCGAGCGUCAUUUCAACCAUCAAGCCCCCGGCUUGUGUUGGGGACCUGCGGCUGCCGCAGGCCCUGAAAACCAGUGGCGGGCUCGCUAGUCACUCCGAGCGUAGUAAUACAUCUCGCUCAGGGCGUGCUGCGGGUUCCGGCCGUUAAAAGCCUUAUUUACCCAAGGUUGACCUCGGAUCAGGUAGGAAGACCCGCUGAACUUAAGCAUAUCAAUAAGCGGAGGA
rnacentral:misc_RNA from 1 species